AAGGUAACUUCAUCCGCGAAUGCAGGUACAUGUUUUCAUUGGGGUACUUUACGAGGGGCAACCUGUUACCUGGUAUACGCCAUUCUCUAAGUGCUUUUCCAAUGCGCAGAGUUCCUAGUACUCCGAAAAAAAAGGUGGGGGAAAAAAAUAAAAAAUGAUGUUGGAAAACCAGAAUCGUCAGACAUCAUUAAAAGGCAGCGCUAUACCACAGUGCUAACGACAGUGUUAUACCAGACAUAUUGUGAAAAGGUUGUCCUCCUCGUAAAUUAGUGUUGCCCUAGAUUAGCAAAAUAAUUCUGAACAAUGAGGUCCCAUUUCUACAGUUUUGUUAUGAGUGCGUUCCUCUUGCUACCUUAUGAGGUGUAUUCCGACUCGACGCGCGAUUCAAGCACGAUGGAUGACCGGAGCUGUGACGUCCACUGCAAUUCCAUAUGGGGGAGAGUCCCUCUGUUCAACAUUCCGUGGAGUUACGGAGCGUGUGCAAAAGACAAAAGUUGCGUUUGUAAAUUCAACCAUCAAGAUCUGCACCAUUUUAUGAGUAAACCCUGCGUUCAAAGGUCCGUUUGGUCAUCGUCGUUCAAAGGCAAAAAGCAAAUAGCUUCAAAGGAAAUUACGGCGCAAGUUGUUCGCUUGGAUUCACGACAGCGAUUUGAAGUAUUCAAGAGGGCCUACGGGAAACAGUACGGCUCACGGGACGAGGAUCUGAAACGAUAUGAUAUUUUCAGAAAGAACUUGGUCAUAAUCGAUGAGCUUAUGGCCAGGCGAAAAGGAAAUGUCGUUUUUGGAGUCGGCCCAUUCACGGAUUUACAAGUGAGUAGACUACACCACUAGAGAAGAUGCGACUUUUUAAGCAUUCUGAUAAGUUCUCCUGGAGGCACCAUACGACUUGCGUCCCGCGGUCAAAAAAGGAACGACUUGCGUCCCGUGUCCAAAAAUCUCGAAAACGACUUGCGUCCCGCGCUCAAAUCCGAAUUUGAGCUGCCGCCAUGAUUGGCAACACCGCGUACCUGAGUCAAAAUACUAUCAAGCCAAAUUGGAAAAUAUACAAUAAAAUUACCUGAGAUAAGAUGAGGAAACAGGCGUCUAUUGCAAUAUGUAUUAUUUGUACACGUCCAGCGCUGCACAUUGCCCGACAGUAAUUUUUGAUAGCGAAACUUAUAGCCCUCGUUUAUAAUUAACAUUUUGCUACUUUUUGAACUAAACAUGUAUUCAGGGCUCACAGCCAUAUUUCAGUACACGCACUUACACUUGUCGCGGUCGGUCAACAUCUGGCGAGAAACUAUCUUGGGGUUUCCACUGAUCUAAAUGAAGGAAGCUGAUCGUGAUUUGUGAGUGCAAUAUCAUCUUCUGAUAAGAGCUACCGAAAUUCCAUGACCAGGUGUUGUAGCAUGGAUUUGUUGUGGAGCUGCGGUAGCGACGUUGCCAUAUGAUAUGAAUUACAAUCAAAUCAAUCCACCACGGG
rnacentral:lncRNA from 1 species